rnacentral:rRNA from 1 species
CAGGACGAACGCUGGCGGCGUGCUUAACACAUGCAAGUCGAACGGUAAGGCCCAGGGCCUUCGGGGGUACNNACGAGUGGCGAACGGGUGAGUAACACCGUGAGCAACCUGCCCUUGACUCUGGAAUAACAGCUGGAAACAGCUGCUAAUACCGGAUAUGACCUCGAGCGACAUCGCCGCGAGGUGGAAAGCUCCGGCGGUCAAGGAUGGGCUCGCGGCCUAUCAGCUAGUUGGUGGGGUAACGGCCUACCAAGGCUUCGACGGGUAGCCGGCCUGAGAGGGCGACCGGCCACACUGGGACUGAGAUACGGCCCAGACUCCUACGGGAGGCAGCAGUGGGGAAUAUUGCACAAUGGGCGCAAGCCUGAUGCAGCAACGCCGCGUGCGGGAUGACGGCCUUCGGGUUGUAAACCGCUUUCAGCUUCGACGAAGCGCAAGUGACGGUAGGAGCAGAAGAAGGACCGGCCAACUACGUGCCAGCAGCCGCGGUGAUACGUAGGGUCCGAGCGUUGUCCGGAAUUAUUGGGCGUAAAGGGCUUGUAGGCGGUUUGUCGCGUCGGAAGUGAAAACUCAGGGCUUAACCCUGAGCCUGCUUCCGAUACGGGCAAACUAGAGGGAUGUAGGGGAGAACGGAAUUCCUGGUGGAGCGGUGGAAUGCGCAGAUAUCAGGAGGAACACCGGUGUCGAAGGCGGGUCUCUGGGCAUUUCCUGACGCUGAGAAGCGCAAAGCGUGGGGAGCAAACAGGCUUAGAUACCCUGGUAGUCCACGCCGUAAACGGUGGGCACUAGGUGUGGGACUCAUUCCACGAGUUCCGUGCCGAAGCUAACGCAUUAAGUGCCCCGCCUGGGGAGUACGGCCGCAAGGCUAAAACUCAAAGGAAUUGACGGGGGCCCGCACAAGCGGCGGAGCAUGCGGAUUAAUUCGAUGCAACGCGAAGAACCUUACCUGGGUUUGACAUAUACCGGAAAGCUGCAGAGAUNNGUANGCCCCCGCAAGGUCGGUNAUACAGGUGGUGCAUGGCUGUCGUCAGCUCGUGUCGUGAGAUGUUGGGUUAAGUCCCGCAACGAGCGCAACCCUCGUCCUAUGUUGCCAGCGGAUAAUGCCGGGGACUCAUAGGAGACUGCCGGGGUCAACUCGGAGGAAGGUGGGGAUGACGUCAAGUCAUCAUGCCCCUUAAGUCCAGGGCUUCACGCAUGCUACAAUGGCUGGUACAAAGGGCUGCAAUACCGCAAGGUUGAGCGAAUCCCAAAAAGCCAGUCUCAGUUCGGAUUGGGGUCUGCAACUCGACCCCAUGAAGUCGGAGUCGCUAGUAAUCGCAGAUCAGCAACGCUGCGGUGAAUACGUUCCCGGGCCUUGUACACACCGCCCGUCAAGUCAUGAAAGUCGGUAACACCCGAAGCCGGUGGCCUAACCCUUGUGGAGGGAGCUGUCGAAGGUGGGACUUGCGCUUAGGACUAAGUCGUAAC